UACCCUCCUUGCCCCUCUUCACUACCCCCCCUUUGCUGGUUGGGAGGAAAAUGUGUGGGAGGUGUUACUUGGCUGGCCCUCCACUAAUUCCUCAGGCUAUAUCCUGCACCUUGCUUUCUUAGAACCCCCCCCCCUUUCUAAAGAGCCCCCUAACCCCAUGGCACAGUCAAGCUUCAGCUUCUAACGGUUACUAAUUCUGUUGCAUCAGUUAACAACCCCACUAACUGUGCUCCCUGGCUUCUGCUGCUGCCACAAAGCUUUCUGAUGGCUGUUGGUCUUGGGAUCUUUGAUGUUUGCUUGGUCAGGGAUGUGUGUGCGUGUGUGUGCUUAGUUUGACAUGCCUGGGUUAUCUAGUUCUCUUGGGCACCAGGGGGAAAUGGAGUCAGAAUCCAAAAGACUUGCCCGGAGCAAUUGCCACAUUACAGAACUCCCAAGUACUUUGCAUUCUGAGGAUGGCAUCAUUCCACCUGAAAUAAAAACACCAUGAAUGUCCACUGCAGUUAGGAGACUGCUUGGUUUUCUUUACCAAAUAGAGCCAUGCUAAGCUGGAAGCACGAGAAAAAUCUUGAAUAGUGAAAUUGGAUUCUGGGUUCGGAGUUUUUUCUCUGGUCUUGUGGGGCUGGCCCAGCCCACUUUCCAUGCCACCUUCAAGGCAGCACCUAGGGGAGCUGUUCAGCAUCUGAGGUUGACUGCUUUGGAUGGACCUAACACUUUCUACAACCUGUCAGAAACAACUCAUGAGAAGGGGGUUGCACUGUUGUUUCAUCUGAGCUCAAGCAUACUGGGGUGGUGAAAGUGUAAGUCUGAAUAGCCCAUCACACAAGUCACAUCAUAGGAGUUGGGGGGGGUCCUCCCCAUGUAGCCAUAAAUCAUCAGGGAAUAAGUUAAUUAUUAUGUGCUCAUCUUCUCUUCCCCCCC